AACGAACGCUGGCGGCAGGCUUAACACAUGCAAGUCGAACGCCCCGCAAGGGGAGUGGCAGACGGGUGAGUAACACGUGGGAACGUGCCCUAAGGUUCGGAAUAUUCCCGGGAAACUGGGAGCAAUACCGAAUGUGACCGCAAGGUGAAAGAUUUAUCGCCUUAGGAUCGGCCCGCGUCGGAUUAGCUAGUUGGUGGGGUAAAAGCCUACCAAGGCGACGAUCCGUAGCUGGUCUGAGAGGACGACCAGCCACACUGGGACUGAGACACGGCCCAGACUCCUACGGGAGGCAGCAGUGGGGAAUCUUGGACAAUGGGCGCAAGCCUGAUCCAGCCAUGCCGCGUGGAUGAUGAAGGCCCUAGGGUU
rnacentral:rRNA from 1 species